GUUGGGUGCAGUGGCGCAUGCCUGUAGUCCCAGCUACUCAGGAGGAUGAGGUGGGAGGAUCGCUUGAGCCCAGAAGUUCUCGGCUAUAGUGUGCUAUGCCGAUCAGGUGUCCAAACUAAGUUCAGCAUCAAUAUGUUGACCUCCCAGGAGCAGGGAACCACCAGGUUGCCUAAAGAGGGGUGAAGCGUCCCAGUUCAGAAACAGAGCUGGUCAAAACUCCCGUGCUGAUCAGUAGUGGGAACUCACCUGUGAAUAGCCACUGCACUCCAGCCUGGGCAACAUAGUGAAGACCCCCAUCUCU
rnacentral:SRP_RNA from 1 species